rnacentral:lncRNA from 1 species
ACACACACUCUGCCACCAAACUUCCCUGCCUUCUAUCCAUCCAGAUGUAUUUGUCCUGGAGAAAGCUGCCUGACCCGCCAGCACUACAGUCCAGACUCUUCCAGCCCUGACCCACCCUGGCAGAUGGCCGGUACUCACCCAGCGAAGUCCCUGGAUGCAGCUUGGGCGCCGGUGCUCGAACACUAGCUGGUAAGAGCAGCACCGGGGACGGUGCAUUCUCUUCAGCACCAUAUUGAGCAGCGUGCCCUCCGGAACCACGUCCGGGAGACCUCCCACCUGCGGUGCCCCCACAGCUGGACUCUCCACCACAGCUGGGCCCACCUGCCAGUGGUUCUCACCUGGCCAGCUGACCUGUGAUGGGGGGAGGAAAGUGGACAGCCAUCGGCCGGAGGAGCUGGACCUUCCUACCACCACCCCAGGCUUAGCGUCCUCUGGACUUGGACUGGUCAUGCGGAGGUGCGGCAACCCUGCCAGGAGCCGGGGGAGGGACAGGAAGACCUGCCCCGGGUCCUGCUGGUUUGGCUCACCUAGGGGUCUCCAGCUUGACUCACAAAGAUGAGGCCCUUCUCAGUUCUGGCUGGAAUUCGGCCCCACCUCACUGCCCAUGUCCUGAAGGCAUGU